CUUGGACUACCAAAACACGCUUGCUAGGACAGUCACGCUACACGUAUCCAUAGCCCUUGCAACGAUGGCGCUGAACAUCUCUUGUUCUACUCGUGGAUGCAACUGAAGAGGCGCUAGUGGCUGGUUUCUGGACAGACUUGGUUGCUGAAUUAUUGGGAGAACCACGUGGUUUGUAACUGGAGGGAGGCGGUGGUGUUGGUUGACUCAAUGGGGGAGUGGGUGGAGGUGCACAUCUGAUCAGGGAAGUAGUC
rnacentral:lncRNA from 1 species